AGGAAAAGGAGGGAUUC
rnacentral:tRNA from 2 species